rnacentral:rRNA from 1 species
UCCUAGCUCAGGAUGAACGCUAGCGGCAGGCUUAACACAUGCAAGUCGAGGGGCAGCGGGGAGGAAGCUUGCUUUCUCCGCCGGCGACCGGCGCACGGGUGAGUAACACGUAUGCAACCUGCCCCUGUCAGGGGGACAACCCGCCGAAAGGCGGGCUAAACCCGCGUACAUGCCACCGGGGCAUCCCGGAGGCAGGAAAGGCUUCGGCCGGACAGGGAUGGGCAUGCGGCGCAUUAGGCAGUAGGCGGGGUAACGGCCCACCUAACCGACGAUGCGUAGGGGUUCUGAGAGGAAGGUCCCCCACACUGGUACUGAGACACGGACCAGACUCCUACGGGAGGCAGCAGUGAGGAAUAUUGGUCAAUGGUCGGGAGACUGAACCAGCCAAGCCGCGUGAGGGAGGAAGGUACAGAGUAUCGUAAACCUCUUUUGUCAGGGAACAAAGGCGGGGACGUGUCCCCGGAUGAGUGUACCUGAAGAAAAAGCAUCGGCUAACUCCGUGCCAGCAGCCGCGGUAAUACGGAGGAUGCGAGCGUUAUCCGGAUUUAUUGGGUUUAAAGGGUGCGCAGGCGGUCUGUUAAGUCAGCGGUCAAAGCCCGGGGCUCAACCCCGGCCCGCCGUUGAAACUGGCAGUCUCGAGUUGGAGAGAAGUAUGCGGAAUGCGCGGUGUAGCGGUGAAAUGCAUAGAUAUCGCGCAGAACUCCGAUUGCGAAGGCAGCAUGCCGGCUCCACACUGACGCUGAGGCACGAAAGCGUGGGUAUCGAACAGGAUUAGAUACCCUGGUAGUCCACGCAGUAAACGAUGAAUGCUGGCUGUCCGGGGGGACUGACCCCUGGGUGGCGAAGCGAAAGCGAUAAGCAUUCCACCUGGGGAGUACGCCGGCAACGGUGAAACUCAAAGGAAUUGACGGGGGCCCGCACAAGCGGAGGAACAUGUGGUUUAAUUCGAUGAUACGCGAGGAACCUUACCCGGGCUCAAACGGGGAGUGCCGCAGGCAGAGACACCUGUUUCCCACGGGACACUCCCCGAGGUGCUGCAUGGUUGUCGUCAGCUCGUGCCGUGAGGUGUCGGCUUAAGUGCCAUAACGAGCGCAACCCCCGCGUGCAGUUGCUAACAGAUAACGCUGAGGACUCUGCACGGACUGCCGGCGCAAGCCGCGAGGAAGGCGGGGAUGACGUCAAAUCAGCACGGCCCUUACGUCCGGGGCGACACACGUGUUACAGUGGGUGGUACAGCGGGAAGCCAUCCCGCGAGGGAGAGCGGAACUACAAAGCCUGUCUCAGUUCGGAUUGGAGUCUGCAACCCGACUCCAUGAAGCUGGAUUCGCUAGUAAUCGCGCAUCAGCCACGGCGCGGUGAAUACGUUCCCGGGCCUUGCACACACCGCCCGUCA